GAUUCCUUUUGGGGGUCAUCCGAUAAAAUUGGAACGAGACAGAGAAGAUUAGCAUAGCCCCUGCGCAUGGAUGACAGGCACAAAUCGAGAAGUGCACCAAGUUUUU
rfam:Symbiodinium microadriaticum strain CCMP2467 Smic.scaffold86, whole genome shotgun sequence.